GACGAACGCUGGCGGCGUGCUUAACACAUGCAAGUCGAACGGAAAGGCCCUGCUUUUGUGGGGUGCUCGAGUGGCGAACGGGUGAGUAACACGUGAGUAACCUGCCCUUGACUUUUGGAUAACUUCAGGAAACUGGGGCUAAUACCGGAUAGGAGCUCCUGCUGCAUGGUGGGGGUUGGAAAGUUUCGGCGGUUGGGGAUGGACUCGCGGCUUAUCAGCUUGUUGGUGGGGUAGUGGCUUACCAAGGCUUUGACGGGUAGCCGGCCUGAGAGGGUGACCGGCAACAUUGGGACUGAGAUACGGCCCAGACUCCUACGGGAGGCAGCAGUGGGGAAUAUUGCACAAUGGGCGGAAGCCUGAUGCAGCAACGCCGCGUGCGGGAUGACGGCCUUCGGGUUGUAAACCGCUUUGGCCUGUGACGAAGCGUGAGUGACGGUAAUGGGUAAAGAAGCACCGGCUAACUACGUG
rnacentral:rRNA from 1 species